GACGAACGCUGGCGGCGUGCUUAACACAUGCAAGUCGAGCGGUAAGGCCCUUUCGGGGGUACACGAGCGGCGAACGGGUGAGUAACACGUGGGUGACCUGCCCUCAGCUCUGGGAUAAGCCUGGGAAACUGGGUCUAAUACUGGAUAUGACUCCACGGUGCAUGUCGUGGGGUGGAAAGCCUUGUGCGGCUGAGGAUGGGCCCGCGGCCUAUCAGCUUGUUGGUGGGGUGANGGCCUACCAAGGCGACGACGGGUAGCCGGCCUGAGAGGGCGACCGGCCACACUGGGACUGAGACACGGCCCAGACUCCGUACGGGAGGCAGCAGUGGGGAAUCUUGCGCAAUGGGCGAAAGCCUGACGCAGCGACGCCGCGUGAGGGAUGACGGCCU
rnacentral:rRNA from 1 species